rnacentral:snRNA from 1 species
CUACUUCUGCAGCACAUAUGCUAAAAUUGGAAUGACACAGAGAUUAGCAUGGCCCCUGCGCAAAGAUGACACACAAUUCGUGCACAUUCUAUGUUAAU